rnacentral:rRNA from 1 species
GAUGAACGCUAGCGGGAGGCCUAACACAUGCAAGCCGAGCGGUAGAGAUCUUCGGGAUCUUGAGAGCGGCGUACGGGUGCGGAACACGUGUGCAACCUGCCUUUAUCUGGGGGAUAGCCUUUCGAAAAGGAAGAUUAAUACCCCAUAAUAUACUGGAUGGCAUCAUUCGGUAUUGAAAACUCCGGUGGAUAGAGAUGGGCACGCGCAAGAUUAGAUAGUUGGUGAGGUAACGGCUCACCAAGUCUGCGAUCUUUAGGGGGCCUGAGAGGGGUGAUCCCCCACACUGGUACUGAGACACGGACCAGACUCCUACGGGGAGGCAGCAGUGAGGAAUAUUGGACAAUGGGUGAGAGCCUGAUCCAGCCAUCCCGCGUGAAGGACGACGGCCCUAUGGGUUGUAAACU